UACGAAGGGGGCUAGCGUUGCUCGGAAUCACUGGGCGUAAAGAGCACGUAGGCGGACUCUUAAGUCUGGGGUGAAAUCCUGGAGCUCAACUCCAGAACUGCCUUUGAUACUGGGAGUCUUGAGUUCGGGAGAGGUGAGUGGAACUGCGAGUGUAGAGGUGAAAUUCGUAGAUAUUCGCAAGAACACCAGUGGCGAAGGCGGCUCACUGGCCCGAUACUGACGCUGAGGUGCGAAAGCGUGGGGAGCAAACAGG
rnacentral:rRNA from 1 species